GACCACCAGCUUCCCUUCUGGAUGAAGCUUCUGCAUUCCUCCCUGACAGACCCAUGCACAGAGCAGUUAGCCAGCUUCUCAGUGUCAUCCAUCUUUCCUCUUGACUCUGCAGGUGUGCUCGCUCUACUGUGUGGAUCUCUGCACCCUGCUUCUCUUUCUCUUUUGGAAAACAGUAUUUUCCUCAUUCUAACUCCUGCCCUUCACUGGGUUACAGGCAGGUAGUUUUUGUCCAGACUUAUUAUCUAAAAUUAUCUAGGAUAUUUAGUGGACAAGAGAUAAUUUCAGUUUUGACCACCUUUCUGCUGUAUUGACUUCAUCCAAUGUUUAGAAAUAACCUAAGACUAAGCAAAUAAUUAUAGAUUGAGUCAAGGUUCUUAAAUGUGUGUGACAGAUAUGACACACCAGGCUGUCCAUGAAGGUUCUUAAAUGAUUAUGACAGAUAUGAUACACUGGGCUGUCAAUCAAGGUCCUUAAACCUGUGUGACAGGUAUGACACACUGAUCUUAUUUGUAAAUAAGUUAAAAUGCUAAAAUAUCAAUAGUAAAUAUAUUUUCUAUACAGUGAGCAUCUUAAAUUUUAUAAAAAGGAAGUAUUUUUAUUUCAUGAAUUAUUGAUGUAUUAAAGUGAGUUCCCAUCCUUUUCUCUGUCAACUCCUUGCAAUUCGAGUGCUGUGUCUGACACGACCCCUGAUAGAACAAUGGCCAACAACAGAUCUGCACUGAGACAGUCUCCAGAGCGGAGGUUCUCAACUUGGCUCCUCCAGAAGACAAGCCUCAUGGACAGCGGUCAGGACCAGUCGCUUCAGUCAGACAAUGGCACAUUUGCAGGGAAAACAGUAUUAGUGAAUAGAACAGCUCAGUAUUAAGUUUUCUUGCCAGAAGUGUUAUUCUUCUUCUCUAGGCUGGGUAUCUCAAGCUAUAAUCUGCAGCCCACACAGCUGGUGUCCCAGGAAUACAAACACACCUUGUGGGACCAGCGAGAGACACCUGACACUGUUGUCAGUGUCAGGUUCUUUAAAGAAUCCAACGGGACAGUAAGUACUUAGAAAUAGAGAUUUUUAGAGUACACAUUCAUCUAACAUAAGCCAGUGAUUUGGAAGAAAUAUACUUUAUACAAUAAAAAAAGUUUAUUGCCAUGUUUA
rnacentral:lncRNA from 1 species